CAUCAUAUACAUAAUUCACCUGUUGUAUUGAUAAAAAUACAACUUUUAAAGAUGUUUGUCAUUUCCAUUAGUUAAAUAAUAAUUAAAUCAUGCCUUCAAGCAGGCACUUCAGGAGUGAAUAGCAGCAGGCCAGUAAACACGAAUGAAGGAUCUCCAGAGAGGACACGGGAGGUCAUGAAAGUAACAUCAGUUCCUAGGAAGAGAAAGUGGAGUGAGGUGGAGAUUGCGGCUGUAGAAGACAAAAUGAUGAAAUUUAUUCACUCGGGAGUUACUCCUGGAAAAGUCGACUGCAUUGCAUGCAUUACAGCAGCCCCCAAAGCCCUCGGUGAACGAGACU